rnacentral:rRNA from 1 species
AGCAGUGAGGAAUAUUGGUCAAUGGGCGUAAGCCUGAACCAGCCAAGUCGCGUGAGGGAUGAAGGUUCUAUGGAUCGUAAACCUCUUUUAUAAGGGAAUAAAGUGCGGGACGUGUCCCGUUUUGUAUGUACCUUAUGAAUAAGGAUCGGCUAACUCCGUGCCAGCAGCCGCGGUAAUACGGAGGAUCCGAGCGUUAUCCGGAUUUAUUGGGUUUAAAGGGUGCGUAGGCGGCCUUUUAAGUCAGCGGUGAAAGUCUGUGGCUCAACCAUAGAAUUGCCGUUGAAACUGGGAGGCUUGAGUAUGUUUGAGGCAGGCGGAAUGCGUGGUGUAGCGGUGAAAUGCUUAGAUAUCACGCAGAACCCCGAUUGCGAAGGCAGCCUGCCAAGCCAUGACUGACGCUGAUGCACGAAAGCGUGGGGAUCAAACAGGAUUAGAUACCCUGGUAGUCCACGCAGUAAACGAUGAUCACUAGCUGUUUGCGAUACACAGUAA